CGUAUAGUUUUAACUCUGCAGAGCGUGUACACCUGUACCCAUCUCGAGUGAGCACACCCGGUAGCUAGUCGACUGAACCACACCCUACCGAAGCGAAGAACCUGGGAGUUACGAUACCAUGCCGCAACCGGGCUUGAAUGUGAUCCCCCGCAGUGGAACACCCUGGUACUAUGAAGCACUCCCACCAGGGCCAAUCGGGGGCAAAAGCAAAUCAGGGGAGCUAUAGGUCAACACCUCUUCCCCCCACACUGAUAUUCUAUCCUACAACAGGUAUGGCAUUGCACUUGCCAAUCUUGACUCAGAUCUAAACCUAUAAUUCAUCGAGUGGCGUGCACAUUUAACAUAUACCCGUGAAGCAUGGCGACCCACUUGGUUUCAGACCGGGGCAAGCUCCUAAUCUCCCACAAAGCGACUCCACCACUUGGACCGCAAUGGUACCCAUAACAGGUAUCACCACCAACUCCUAUGCUCCUCAACCAUGUACUCGCAACAAGUACCAAAUAGGGAACGUCCGAGAACGAACCCCAAGCCCCCAAUCCGAAGAUUGGGUUGUGUAAAACUCACCCC
rnacentral:lncRNA from 1 species